GGCUCCUUGUAGUAAAUAAAUAAGGAGUCGGACCUGCCCAGUGAAAGUUUUUUAACGGCCGCGGUACUCUGACCGUGCAAAGGUAGCAUAAUCAUUUGCCUUAUAAUUGAAGGCUGGUAUGAAUGGUUUGACAAGAAUAUAGCUGUCUCUUUAUAAUUUAAUAGAAUUUUAUUUUAAGGUGAAGAAGCCUUAAUCAAAUUAAAAGACAAGAAGACCCUAUCGAGCUUGAAAGAAUUUAAUAGAAUAUAUAAUAUUAAUAAUGAGUUAAAAAAUUAUCUAUUAAAAAUUUUGGUUGGGGCGACUGAGGAACAAAAAUAGCUUCCUUUAAAACGUAAUAACAUACAUGUAUUGAUCCAAAAUUUUUGAUUAAAGAAAUUAGUUACCGUAGGGAUAACAGCAUUAUCCUCUUUGAGAGUUCUUAUCGAAAAGGGGGUUUGUGACCUCGAUGUUGGACCAGAAUAUCCUAAAGAUGCAGAAGUCUUUAAGGGUUGGUCUGUUCGACCAUUAAAAUUCU
rnacentral:rRNA from 1 species